rnacentral:siRNA from 1 species
UGGUUCGGGCUGUCGGCGGCAUC